rnacentral:rRNA from 1 species
AGAGUUUGAUCCUGGCUCAGAACGAACGCUGGCGGCGUGCCUAACACAUGCAAGUCGAACGCGAAAGCCUGGGCAACCGGGUGAGUAGAGUGGCGCACGGGUGAGCAACACGUGGGUAACCUGCCUUCGAGUGGGGAAUAACUCCUCGAAAGGGGAGCUAAUACCGCAUAAGACCACGACUUCUUCAGGGGUUGCGGUCAAAGGUGGCCUCAGCUACGAAAGCAUUUGGGAUGAUCUUCCCGAGGGGAGGAUGAUCCUUAGUGCUUUGUCGCAUGAAGCUGCCGCUUGAAGAGGGGCUCGCGGCCCAUCAGCUAGUUGGUAGGGUAAUGGCCUACCAAGGCGACGACGGGUAGCUGGUCUGAGAGGACGACCAGCCACACGGGAAUUGAGAGACGGUCCCGACUCCUACGGGAGGCAGCAGUGGGGAAUCUUGGGCAAUGGGGGCAACCCUGACCCAGCGACGCCGCGUGGGGGACGAAGGCCUUCGGGUUGUAAACCCCUGUUAGGUGGGACGAACCGCCUCUGGCAAAGACCCGGAGGCGCUGACGGUACCACCAGAGAAAGCCCCGGCUAACUCCGUGCCAGCAGCCGCGGUAAUACGGAGGGGGCGAGUGUUGUUCGGAAUUACUGGGCGUAAAGGGCGCGUAGGCGGCUUGGCAAGUCGAGUGUGAAAUCCCUUAGCUUAACUGAGGAAUGGCGCUCGAAACUACCUCGCUAGAGGGCGGGAGAGGGAAGUGGAACUCUCGGUGUAGGGGUGAAAUCUGUAGAUAUCGAGAGGAACACCGGUGGCGAAGGCGGCUUCCUGGCCCGUACCUGACGCUGAGGCGCGAAAGCGUGGGGAGCAAACAGGAUUAGAUACCCCAGUAGUCC